AAGAGGAUUUGCGGGAAAUUUCGGUAUAUUAGCACCACCAAAAGUCUAUAAUAUUGUGCUCAUGCACUUCUUUUUACUCUAAUAUGCACUGAACGAGUAAACAAAUACAUAUCUGAUUAUUUCAAAUCUUAAAAGACAUACUCACCCCAGCCCAUAAUGAGGUAACGAACAGGAAUGAAGUAAAGAACAACAGUGGCUGCCACUAAUACCAUAAAUGCCAACCAUGAGAGAAAGGGCACUGAAUAAUUAAAAGUGCUGGAUGGAAAGACAGAAAAUUUAAUGUAAUAAAUGUUAUAUGUUAAAAUAAAAUAUGUCAAAUACAAA